AGGCAACAGAGCAAGACCCUAUGUUAAAAAAAACAAAAAAAAAGUCUUCAGACAUUGCCAAAUGUCCCCUGGGGUGUAAAAUUGCUCACUGGGUUGAGAGCCACUGGGUUAAGACAUUGUGAUAGUGUAUGUGAUGUGCAUGUGAUUUUUCUGAGUCAACAGGUCCUCUGUGAGCUGAUUCGGUUCUUCCAUAUGCCAUCAGGGCUCCUGUGCUCGUGGCCCUAGGACAGCGACCUGCAGCCCAAGAGAAACCAUCCUCCUGUUGGACUUCUGGGCCCAAUUGCGAAUGGUUCCUUACUCACCACCCACUACUUCAACAUGCCUGGAAAAUGCCACUAGGGGAGAAAGAACAGAGGGUUUAUGGGGAUCGUAUGAAGUACCACAGUGGUUCCUGGAUGGCAGUCCUUAAACAGGUGCUACACAUGAGGACGUUUUCACCAGCCCACGGUGAGAUGAGGAAAAUCAGGACAACGAAAGGAGGUGUUUACAAAGGUAGAUUUAUUCAACCUAAAGGCCUGGACUGUACUCUGAGAUUGUGUCUUUCUUGGGGUUUAUUUGCAUUGAAAUUACAUUUACUUUAUGAAAUGAUAGUGAUGUUAGCAGAUUUUUAAAAAUGUUUUUACUUAACAAAAUUAAAGUACAACUACCCAGUUUGGGAGAUCUUACCAGUCUGUAAAGCCCCAAACCCUUUUGAGUCAGUGAACCAGAAAGCCUUGGCAAACCACAAAGAGCUACGACCAGAGGCCACCUCUUGCUGUCUUCCUUUGCUGCCCCUCUGCUAGCUAAAGCCUGUGUGGUAGGGGUGGGUUCCAAGGGUCAAGGCCCAGACAUGCUUUUCAUCUUGACUUUAAAAGCACAGAUUCUGGAACCAGACUGUUAGGGUUUAAAUAUCAGUUACACUCCUUUCUAGUUGCGUAUGACCUUGGACAAGUUGCUUCUGCUCUCCAUACUUUGAUGCUCUCAUUUAUAACAUGUGUGUAUUAAUAGUGAAGAUUAAAUGUAAGGCAAGGGCUGGGAACGGUGGCUCCUGCCUGUAAUCCUAGCACUUUGGGAGGCUGAGGCAGAGGGAUCUCUUGAGUCCAGGAGUUUGAGGCCAGCCUGGGCAAUAUGGUGAAACCCCACCUCUACAAAAAAUAUGAAAAUUAACCAGGCAUGGUGUCGUGCACCUGUAGUCCCAGCUACUUGGGAGGCUGAGGUGGGAGGAUGGCUUGAGCCCGGGAAGUCAAGGCUGCAGUGAGCAGAGAUCACAUCACUGCACCCCAGGCUGGGUGACAGACCUUGUCUCAACAAACAAAUAAAUAAAUGUAAAUAUGUAACUGCCCAGUGGGUUCACCUUGCCUGCUGCCUAGACAGAGCUAAUUUAUCAAGACAGGGGAAUUGCAGUGGAGAAAGAGUAAUUCACACACAGCUGGCUGUGCGGGAGAGGGAGACUGGAGUUUUAUUAUUACUCAAAUCAGUCUCCCGGAGCAUUCGGAGAGCAGAGUUUUUAAAGAUAAUUUGGCGGGUAGGGGCUCGGGAAGUGGGGAGUGCUGAUGGAUCAGGUUGGAGAUGGAAUCAUAUGGGGUCAAAGUGAGUUUUUCUUACUGUCUUCUGUUCCUGGGUGGGAUGGCAGAACAGGUUGAGCCAGAUAACCAGUCCGGGUGAUGUCAGCUGAUCCAUCAAGUGCAGGGUCUACAAAAUAUCUCAAGCACUGAUCUUAGGUUUUACAAUAGUGAUGUUAUCCCCAGGAGCAAUUUGAGGAGGUUCAGACUCUUGGAGCCAGAGGCUGCAUUACCACUAACCCGUAAUUUCUAAUCUUGUAGCUAAUGUGUUAGCCCUGCAAAGGCAGACUGGUCCCCAGGCAAGAAGGGGGCCUUGGAAAAGGGCUGUUAUCAAUUUUGUUUCGGAGUCAAACCAUGAACAGAAUUCCUUCCCAAAGUUAGUUCGGCCUAUGCCCAGGAAUGUACAAGGACAGCUUAAAGGUUAGAAGCAAGAUGGAGUUGGUUAGGUCUGAUCUCUUUCACUGUCAUAAUUUCUUCAGUUAUAAUUUUUGCAAAAACAGUGUGUGGCACAUAUGGGCACUCAAGAAUGCCAGCAGUGAUUAUUGGCCUGGCGCAUUGGCUCACGCCUGUAAUCCCCCAGCACUUUGGAGAGCCGAGGCGGGUGGAUCACGAGGACAGGAGUUUGAGACCAAUUUGGCCAACGUAAUGAAAUCCUGUCUCUACGAAAACCACAAAAAAUUGGCCGGUGUGGUGGUUCAUGCCUGUAAUCCCAGCAUUUUGGGAGGCCAAGGCGAGGGGAUCACUUGAGGUCAGGAAUUCGAGAGCAGCCUGGCCAACAUGGCAAAACCCCGUUUCUACUAAAAAUACAAAAAUUAGCUGGGCAUGGUGGCACAUGCCUGUAGUCCCAGCUACUCGGGAGGCUGAGGCAGGAGAAUGGAUCACUUGAACCCAGGAGGCUGAGGUUGCAGUGAGCUGAGAUCACACCAUACACUCUAGCCUGGGCAACAAAGCGAGACUGUCUCAAAAAGGAAAAAAAAAAAAUCUGCCAUUGACUUGCAAAUGAGGAAUUGCUUCCAGGUUCUCAGCGACCAUUUGCUACAGAUAUGCCAGGUAGUAAACUGGGAAGCCAAGAACCUGAGAGAAGCACCUGCUUGUCAGAGGGCAGGUUUUUGUUUGUUUGUUUGAAGAGAAACUUUUCCUAGUUUACUAUUCCUUUUCAGAACACAGCCUCACAAUACCUUCCACGUGUGUCAGAUCUGUGUGCUCUUGGCUAUUUGCUAAGAGGACAUUACAGCAUUGGUCCCUCUUGUGAUUACAGGGGUACAGGGAGCUGAAAUGUGGAUCCCCUGAAAACUUUCAUUACAAUAAGAGAGAACUCAGGUGUGGUGGCUCACGCUUGUAAUCCCUGCAAUUCUGGAGGCUGAGGCAGGCAGAUCACUUGAGUCCAGGAGUCUGAGACCAGACUGAGCAACAAGGUGAAACCCCAUCUCUACAAAAAACACAAAAAUUAGCUGGACGUGUUGGCACAUGCCUGUAGUCCCAGCUACUUGGGAGGCUGAGGCAGGAGGAUUGCUUGAGCCCAGAAGGUCGAGGCUGCAGUGAGCCAUGAUUGUACUACUGCACUCCAGCGUGGGCAACAGAGUGAGACCCUGUCUCAAAAAAAAAAAAAAAAAAAAGCUCACAGCUGGUUCCCUGAACUGGGGAGAAUCCCAUUCAGGUUAA
rnacentral:lncRNA from 1 species